AAGGCUUCAGUACGACCCAGUCAGAACUAUAAGUCUCAAAGCCCCGACGAGUAGGGUGGCGUGCCGGUGCGCGGAGAAGGCCAAGACGUGAGUCAGGCUGGAGCCGCCGGUAGUGCAGAUCUUGGUGGUAGUAGCAAGUACUCUGGUGAACCAACCUGGAGCUGUGAGGUCUGGAUUAGGGUUCCAUGUCAACAGUGAUUGAACAUGGGUGAGUCGAUCCUAAGCCAACUGUGAAAGCAGUGACAUCCCGACAAAGGAGCUUUUCGUGCGCUGCACUUACACCCCCAAAGCCAAGCUCUCAGGUGUAUCUCUCUCUCACACGCAUGCAUAAGGUGUCUGGUGCUGAAUGCGCGCAUACACACAAUGAUCACUUUAAAUAGAGUGAGUGUGUUCGCUAUUCAUAUUACGCUCAAAAGCGUUAAAGAUCGGUGGCUGUCUGUCUUGGAUAAAUAAGAGAGAGAGAGAGAGUGUGGGUGAGCGUGAGUUGCUCUAGCACGGCUUCCUGCGUUGGUUCUAUGUCUGGCGAAAGGGAAUGGGGACUUUGUUCCUUGACCGGUCCCGGCACCCUCGAUUGGCUCUGCCAAUUAAUGGUCCAUGCAAAUGGAACCAGGCCACAGCCGCUGGCAGUCGCCCGAGGAAGAGUUUUCUUUUCUGCUUAACGCACGAGGUCAUCCCUGGAAACAGUUCGGCUGGCGAAAGGGUGCCCCGUUGCGGCAGAGCGCCACGACUGUCGUGCGCGUCUCGGUGUUCCUGCCGGUCCGUGAAGACGUGGUCGAGGGGAAUGCUAUCUUGUAUCAACGAAACGCCUGACAAGUUCGGGACGGACCGUACCCUAUAUCCGCAUCUGGUCUCCAAGGUUCGUAGCCUCUGCAGAGUCAGACACAUGUAGGUAAGGGAAGUCGGCAAACUCGAUCCGUAACUUCGGGAAAAGGAUUGGCUCUGAGGGCCGAGCUGGGCCGGGCCUUGCCUGCAAAGCAGUACCUAUAGUGACCGGAGUUUCAGGAGUGCGAGGGGCUCUAGUAGCUGCUUGUGCGUGUGUGCGUUUGCGCGUGCGCGCGUGUGGGCACGAACGAGUCCACCGCUCCGCUCCAACCACGAACGGCUGUGACGGCAAGGGCUCUGGGCGGGAGCGAUCGAUCCGUUGGCCCCCAGCGCGUCUGGGUGGCGGCGGUGCUCUGUCUGACCCAUACGGCUCCAGCGGCUAGCGGCUAACUCAGAACUGUCAUGGACCAAGGGAAUCCGA
rnacentral:rRNA from 1 species